GCCUAGAUUUGGAUUGAACGAAAGGUAAUAUUGGAACACAUGACAUUUUCUUUUUCUGUAUGGAUACCCUCAACUAGGUCCACAUUUGGCCAGUUUGUUGAAUACGACAUCAUUUCAAAUGCAUUUAGAUGUGUUUCAUCGUGUCUUCCCGAUUCCAGACUCUAACGUCAUAAAUCGAUGACUAACAGCUCUGCGACCUUGUGUACAACACUCUUCUGCCUUGUGCCAUAGUUGCGUAUAGGAAUAUAAAGGAAGAGUGCACAAAUGGUCAAGGACAGUCACAACGUGACUGCUCAGGAAUCGAAGACAUAUUGUUAGAGUCUGUAAAUCUGGUAUGCUUCCGUUCGUAGUCCAACGAAUUCUUUCUGACCACUGCUGUUGGUGUCUAGGGGAGUUUCCUCCUAUGGUUACAAGAAAAAGUUUUCCAUGGUCUCAACGAUCAAAAAAGAUAACAAGAGAAGUUACUAGUUGGAUAUUUAAUUCACAGAAGGGAAGUAUAUAUAGAAAUGCUGAAAAUUUUAUAAAAAGUAUUAAUAAGUUUUUUUUUUUAACUUUCCAGGCAUUCAUUACGUUCAGGCAAUAGAAUUUGCCUGUCCUGCAAAAACAGGAAAUUACACAUGAUGGUUAUUCUGUACGGCAUACAAAUUCCACUCUUCAGCAGAAUAAUUUUGAUGAAAAACAAAUUGGAAAAUUCAAAUUAUGUUAGGUGGUGGGAUCUCUGGUCAAAACAGUGGCACUACGACUACUUCAGCUACAUUUAACUGGAUCUUCCGGAACUCUUGGGAAAUUGAGGUUAUUCUGUACGGCAUACAAAUUCCACUCUCCAGCAGAAUAAUUUUGAUGAAAAACGAAUUGGAAAAUUCAAGUUAUGUUAGGUGGUGGGAUCUCUGGUCAAAACAGGAUUUUGUGAGUUACACUGGCAAAACUUUGGAAUUUAAAUGGAGUAAAAAUGAACUGAGAAAUUGAAAUGGAAUACGGAAAAGGCGGCUUACUCAGUCAUACCUCAAAAGGUUCCAGGACUGAUGGAAACUCUAGAAAUGUAAGUGAUGUUUACCAGAGUCUUUGAUGAAGCAACGUUUCAGGGACUCUUAAUUAAACCUAGACGGGACUCACUGAAGAUUCACUGUUGCGUAGGUGAACGAAAAAAAAUAGGGAACGAUAAAGGCAGCUAAUGUUUGAUGUUCUUCCCAAUAAUAAGUACGAAAGGACAAACAACGAAUUAAUGUCGAUACCACUGAAAAUCGACGAGCAAAACGAACUAAAAGCCUGGUUACCUAACCUUGAAAAGAGCUCUGUUCAACGUCUUAAACCUGCACAUCAACCAAAGAGGAAAAUCGCGGAAUUAAAUUAUACUGCUUCGUCGUCCGUCUGUCUGUCCGGAGUUUAAAGUAGUAAUUGUCGUUUGGGAAGAUACAAAGCUAUGCUGGUGAAACAAUGGCAUAAAAUCUGCGCCUCGCUCGAUGGAUUGGAUGGGCGAUGGUGUGGCUCUUUAUGUAUAAGAUUUAUGUAUACAAUUUAUUUAU